GAUGAAGAACGUAGCGAAAUGCGAUAAGUAGUGUGAAUUGCAGAAUUUAGUGAAUCAUCGAAUCUUUGAACGCACAUUGCGCCCUAUAGUAUUCUGUAGGGCAUGCCUGUUCGAGCGUUAUUGAGACCUCAAGCUCUGCUUGGAAAUGGGCGCUUGUCUUGCCUUGCAGACUCGCCUUAAAACCAUUGGCAGCUGAUUUACAAUGUUUGGUGCACAGUACAUGAGCCCAAGUGUUGCAAUGAGUGGCCCAAAAGUAUACAAUAGAAGCUUAACCUCGGAUCAGGUAGGGAUACCCGCUGAACUUAAGCAUAUCAAAAGCGGAGGA
rnacentral:misc_RNA from 1 species